GAUGAACGCUAGCGGGAGGCCUAACACAUGCCAGCCGAGCGGUAGAGUCUCUUCGGAGCCUUGAGAGCGGCGCACGGGUGCGGAACACGUGUGCAACCUGCCUUUAUCUGGGGGAUAGCCUUUCGAAAGGAAGAUUAAUACCCCAUAAUAUACUGGAUGGCAUCAUCUGGUAUUGAAAACUCCGGUGGAUAGAGAUGGGCACGCGCAAGAUUAGAUAGUUGGUGAGGUAACGGCUCACCAAGUCAGCGAUCUUUAGGGGGCCUGAGAGGGUGAUCCCCCACACUGGUACUGAGACACGGACCAGACUCCUACGGGAGGCAGCAGUGAGGAAUAUUGGACAAUGGGUGAGAGCCUGAUCCAGCCAUCCCGCGUGAAGGACGACGGCCCUAUGGGUUGUAAACUUCUUUUGUAUAGGGAUAAACCUAGAUACGUGUAUCUAGCUGAAGGUACUAUACGAAUAAGCACCGGCUAACUCCGUG
rnacentral:rRNA from 1 species